rnacentral:rRNA from 1 species
UACAGAGGGGGCAAGCGUUGUUCGGAAUUACUGGGCGUAAAGGGCGCGUAGGCGGCCUGCUAAGUCGAACGUGAAAUCCCCGGGCUCAACCCGGGAACUGCGUCCGAUACUGGCGGGCUUGAAUUCGGGAGAGGGAUGUGGAAUUCCAGGUGUAGCGGUGAAAUGCGUAGAUAUCUGGAGGAACACCGGUGGCGAAGGCGGCAUCCUGGUCCGAUAUUGACGCUGAUGCGCGAAAGCCAGGGGAGCAAACGGG